rnacentral:rRNA from 1 species
UACGAAGGGGGCUAGCGUUGCUCGGAAUCACUGGGCGUAAAGCGCACGUAGGCGGACUCUUAAGUCGGUGGUGAAAUCCUGGAGCUCAACUCCAGAACUGCCUUCGAUACUGGGAGUCUCGAGUCCGGGAGAGGUGAGUGGAAUUCCUAGUGUAGAGGUGAAAUUCGUAGAUAUUAGGAAGAACACCAGUGGCGAAGGCGGCUCACUGGUCCGGUACUGACGCUGAGGUGCGAAAGCGUGGGGAGCAAACAGG